rnacentral:rRNA from 1 species
CGGGUGAGUAAUGUCUGGGAAACUGCCUGAUGGAGGGGGAUAACUACUGGAAACGGUAGCUAAUACCGCAUAACGUCGCAAGACCAAAGAGGGGGACCUUGGGGCCUCUUGCCAUCGGAUGUGCCCAGAUGGGAUUAGCUAGUAGGUGGGGUAAUGGCUCACCUAGGCGACGAUCCCUAGCUGGUCUGAGAGGAUGACCAGCCACACUGGAACUGAGACACGGUCCAG